rnacentral:rRNA from 1 species
UACGUAGGGUGCGAGCGUUUAAUCGGAAUUACUGGGCGUAAAGCGUGCGCAGGCGGUUUUGUAAGCCAGGUGUGAAAUCCCCGGGCUCAACCUGGGAAUGGCAUUUGGGACUGCAAGGCUGGAGUGCGGCAGAGGAGACUGGAAUUCCUGGUGUAGCGGUGAAAUGCGCAGAUAUCAGGAGGAACACCGGUGGCGAAGGCGGGUCUCUGGGCAGUAACUGACGCUGAGGAGCGAAAGCGUGGGGAGCGAACAGG